GGAGGUAGUGACAAUAAAUCACAAUGCGGAACUUUUAGUUUUGCAAUUGGAUUGAGAACAAUGUACAAAUGUUAUCGAUAAACAAUUGGAGGGCAAGUCUGGUGCCAGCAGCCGCGGUAAUUCCAGCUCCAAUAGCGUAUAUUAACGUUGUUGCAGUUAAAAAGCUCGUAGUUGAAAUGUGGGAUGAAGUAUAUAAUGAAUUUCUAAUUCAAUUAUAUAUUGAAUCCCCUCUCCAAUUUAUUAUUAUGGGUAUUAAUUUAUUUGUAAUAAGAAUUGGUCAUUUACUGUGAGAAAAUUAGAGUGUUCAAAGCAGGCAUUUGCUUGAAUAGAUUAGCAUGGAAUAAUACUAAAAGGCUUUUAUGGUCGAUUUAAUUGGUUUGUUCAUAAAAGCAAGAUUAAAAGGAACAGUUGGGGGUAUUCAUAUUCAAUAGUUAGAGGUGAAAUUCUCGGAUUUAUGGAAGAUGAACAAGUGCGAAAGCA
rnacentral:rRNA from 1 species